CAUGAGGAGGCAACCCUUCCAUUCUCUCAAAUGCUGCAGUCUCUCCAGAUCUUUCUGCAGUUACAUAUGUACCUCCUGUAAACAAGUCUAUGUGUUUGAAACAACUGUUUUUGGGAGCACUGUGCAAGAACUGUGCAAUUCUGGCACUCUGAAUCAGGGAGAGAAAGCAGAGCAGUCAAAACUUUCAGCUCCCUUAUAGUUUGGAGGUUGUAUAGCUGGGGGUUCUGGCAACGGUUACAAGGACCUGCUCAGAACAAUGAGAAGCAGUAUUUCUGGAUACCUCUCACUCAGGUGGAAUUGGCUCUGCCAGCUAGAUACAAAUCAUAAUGCUGAGAAAAUGUAAGCAGACUUCCUAUUAACCAGCUCCAAGAAAGCAAAUAGUGACAUAUGCUGGAAGCACUCAGCCUUUCUCCUCCUGUCAUAUCUGACAUCAGAAAAAGCGACUACUGAGAUCUGUUACUGAUAGACCACAAUGCUGUGAGUCCUGGAUUUACUUCCUAUGGGGUGACAAAAGGCACAGAUCAAAGUUUUGAAGCUUGGACACAGCAGCAAUGGCAGGCAUAGCCCAGUGGUGUCCACCACCACCAUACCAGAGGAGAUGGAAGGAAGGCCCCUGUCCCAUUCCUCAAUAGGAGCACACAAGCUCCUUAGCAGCCAUGUUAAUGACUGGCACAUGUGCAGGCCUUCAGCAGAACCCACGCUGAUACAAACACCAGCCAGACCCUCCGACUGAGGAAGAAUUGAAGCAUGGAGGAAGAGAAACCCAGAUUCAAAAGCUACUUAGACACCUAAUGAUGCAGUGCAAUGCCAGCUGAUAUUUCCAGAAAGCACUGUUUAGGCAGCUAGGAGGCCAGCACAAGUCCAUUGUACAUCUGCCUACGACCAAGCAGCAAACCAGAGGGAUGGAAGCAGACAGGCCACCUGGGGAGUAGCAGGGCCCUGUGUCAGCUGCUUCAUGGGAGCAUCUCGCUGCUUGCUCCUCACUGUCGGCAAACACGAGGCACUCUGAAGCUAAUGGAGGAGGAAUGUCUGCUAAUGAAGAAGGCGCGAAUCAUCUCAGGUUCCGCAAGGCAUACGGGAGUGUGAAUGGUUAUGGCUCUGCUGGGCUCUGGCACAAAAACUUACAAAGUGAGCAUUACAGUUCCUAGAAAGAAACCCAACAAACUGGGAAAAUAAAACAUUCUGACCUAC